GAGCUUGCUCCACCGGAAAAAGAAGAGUGGCGAACGGGUGAGUAACACGUGGGUAACCUGCCCAUCAGAAGGGGAUAACACUUGGAAACAGGUGCUAAUACCGUAUAACAAUCGAAACCGCAUGGUUUUGAUUUGAAAGGCGCUUUCGGGUGUCGCUGAUGGAUGGACCCGCGGUGCAUUAGCUAGUUGGUGAGGUAACGGCUCACCAAGGCCACGAUGCAUAGCCGACCUGAGAGGGUGAUCGGCCACAUUGGGACUGAGACACGGCCCAAACUCCUACGGGAGGCAGCAGUAGGGAAUCUUCGGCAAUGGACGAAAGUCUGACCGAGCAACGCCGCGUGAGUGAAGAAGGUUUUCGGAUCGUAAAACUCUGUUGUUAGAGAAGAACAAGGAUGAGAGUAACUGUUCAUCCCUUGACGGUAUCUAACCAGAAAGCCACGGCUAACUACGUGCCAGCAGCCGCGGUAAUACGUAGGUGGCAAGCGUUGUCCGGAUUUAUUGGGCGUAAAGCGAGCGCAGGCGGUUUCUUAAGUCUGAUGUGAAAGCCCCCGGCUCAACCGGGGAGGGUCAUUGGAAACUGGGAGACUUGAGUGCAGAAGAGGAGAGUGGAAUUCCAUGUGUAGCGGUGAAAUGCGUAGAUAUAUGGAGGAACACCAGUGGCGAAGGCGGCUCUCUGGUCUGUAACUGACGCUAAGGCUCGAAAGCGUGGGGAGCAAACAGGAUUAGAUACCCUGGUAGUCCACGCCGUAAACGAUGAGUGCUAAGUGUUGGAGGGUUUCCGCCCUUCAGUGCUGCAGCUAACGCAUUAAGCACUCCGCCGGGGGAGUACGACCGCAAGGUUGAAACUCAAAGGAAUUGACGGGGGCCCGCA
rnacentral:rRNA from 1 species